GGUGGUGGCUUCGGUGGCCGUGGGGAAGAUGGAGGGGCUUCGGUGGCCGAGCCAAAAGCCCACAGAGGGGAAAGCAGAGCACCCACGGGUGGCACCCCGAGCCCGAUUCCCUGCCCCAAACCCAGCGAUGAUGGGGGGAGAGCACAGCGAGAUGUGGGGCACGACUUACUGCGCAGCUGGGAGCUUCUUGCUGGGGGAGAAGACAAGCGGUGGAUCUGGAAGGCCAUGAGAACACAACGGGGGGGGAUCACAAUCACACACAGCGAUGAGAUGACGGCGGUGCACACGCAGCCCAAGGACCCCCCCCCCCUCUUCCUACCCUCCUUCCCCACAUCCCAUAGGGUUCCUUACCUUGCCGUCGCUUCUGGAUGCGCGCGGCGCGCCGCCGGUUCAUGAUGCAGGCGGCCGUGGUGCUGAAGAUGAUGGCCACGCUGAGGAAGCAGAUCCCACCGAUCACCCCGGCCAGCACCGGCUGCGGGAGCAGCUCGGGGAGCUGCGUGCGGGAUGGGUACACCUCCAUCCCUGCAUUGGGUGGGAGAUGGGGUUGGGUCAGCACCCCCCGGCACCGCAGCGGGGAUGGCAGAAGUUGGGGUGCUCCCUUGGGGUGCCCGAUAAACACAAGCAAGGUGUGCUGCUGCAGGCUGGGAGGAAAUCUCUGCCCGCGUGAAUGCAAGGACUCAAAGCCCCUGCAGACACCACUGCUCGUGUAGGGCUCACCAAAGGGCCACAGCUGUGCACUGCAGCGUUCCCUUUUUAAGGGGUAGAAGCAAUGAAUGGCGCAGAGCACGGCCUCUCUUCCCACGAGUGUUUUUAAGGAGGUUUGUGCUUGGCUAAAAGCUUUGCAUAGGAAUUAGUGUGUCGUUGGCUGUUUGUAAUGGCACAUAGGUUUGUAAAAAUAAAGAACAAUGGAGUGAUUUCGUGAA